UGUGGCAGGAUUGAUCCAUGCAAUUCAGUCCAUCCAUCCACACUGUUCCUGCAUCUCUGGCUUCAGCCAUCACCACACUAGAUGAUCUGGAUUGAGUUCUGAUGAGAUAAGCUGCUAAAGCUGAUUUUAGAUCAGCAUCAUCACACAAACUGAUCAGUGAGACUCCCACAGCAGAGACAACCAAACUGAAGCUUUUUCUCCUGAGAAGUCACUGGAAUGACCGAUAUGAAGACUUGGAUGGUUGAAAGUCACACAUUCUCUUCCCGUUAAUGACUUUGAGCCUCGAGGCCUCAGACAGGAGCCUGCAGACCUUCGGAUUGAUCCCCUCCCGUCUCCUUCAGAACAUUUCAACUGUUGUGCUCAGAAGAGAAGCUGUGCCGUAUGUGAGAGACACCCAGCAGAGAACAGAAGAACAGCUAGAGCACCUCUUAAAAAGUCACACUUUCAUGUUCUCUUUGAGAGACUUUAAAAGGACAUACCUGACAAACAUUUGCUAUUUUAAUGUUGCUGUAGGGUUAGAGUUCUUACAUCUCUUCGGCGUCUCUCUGGCAGCAGAGGACAGAGGAGAAGAUCAAGACGCCUUUGAUGUGUUGCCCACUGCAGGCGAUACCGGGAUAUGGAAUAUGAUUUCUGAAAAAUGUAACAUCUAGAUUAAAAAGUAACAUCUGGUUGAAAUUCACAACAGGGAGUGGUAUGAUUUAUGAGCUGAAUUAUUUUGAAGUGAAGUAAAUAGAUUGUUCAUUAUAUUAUUUUCUUAAGCAAACUAAGCUUUCUUUGACACUUUGAUACAUUUGCUUGGUUUUGUGUAUCAGGGAUAAAAAAAAAAAUCAAAAAGAAUUUCACAGUUUAGGUUUCCAUUCCUCUUUAAAAUUCUGGUUCCUUAAAGGUUCCAAUAAUUAUUAUUUUUAGGGCUUUAAUAGUGAAAUAUUUGGGAAAAGUCUAACUUCUAGCUGUAUGUUUUUACAGAGUAUAAAGAACCAGCUCAAAAGUGUGAUUUGUUCAAAAGUCAAAUGUUUUUUUAAUUCACUAAAAAGAAUGUCCGGGAGUCGAACUACUGGAUCCUUUGUUUGAUUCACUACAAAGAACCAUCUCAAGACAGUCAUUCAAUCUGGAGUCAGGCUGCCCUGUGUUUUUGUUUCACUAAAAAGAAUCGUCUCAAAAGAGGGAUUCAUUCAGGAGUCAAACUACUGUUUGCGCUGUGUGUUUUUGAUUUGCUAAAAACAACAUCUAACUACUGGGGUGCCUCAGGGCUCAGUUCUUGAACCAUUUCUCUUCUCUUGCAUCACUAGGUUCUGUCAUUCAGAAACAUGGCUUUUCAUACCAUUGCUGUGCUGAUGACACUCAACUCUACCUCUCAUUCCAUCCUGAUGAUCCGACGGUAGCUGCUCGCAUCUCAGCUUGUCUAACAGACAUUUCUUGCUGGAUGAAGGACCAUCACCUUCAACUCAACCUUGCCAAUACAGAACUGCUUGUGGUUCCAGCAAACCCAUCGUUUCAUCACAAUUUCACCAUCAAGUUAGACACAUCAACCAUAACUCCUUCAAAAACAGACAGAAACCUUGGAGUUAUAAUUGAUGAUCAGCUAACUUUCUCCGAACACAUUGCUAAAAUUACCAUAAAACCCUGGGGUAAUAUGAACACCAGUGUGAAGGGAUGUGCUAAUGAUGUGAGUGAGUGCAGGUGCAACUGUAGGAGAAAUGGCUUAAAUGAGAUGGGAUUGAAUAGGAUCAAGCGGACAAGUAAUAGGAUGAUUAGAAAGGAUGUAUUUGGAGACUUCUGCCUCAGAGAGUGAAGAGAAGGAUGUAAAAGGGUAUAUGUUUGCUGGUUAGAUGUACUUGACAGAUUGUUACGUGGAAAAUUGUGCACUGAUGGUUUUAAUUUUAUUAAUGAAGAACAUGGCAAAGUUGUCAGCUGUUAGAGUUGAUGAAGGAGGGGGAAGAGUAGGACAAAGGAUCUAGGUAAUUAAAAAAGUAAUUAAUCCUUAUUCUAAAGGAUUUAUAAUAAGGUCUUGGAGAAUAAGACAUUAAUAUGUUUUUUUUUUUUUUUUUUUUAAGUAAUAAUAAACAACCGAUAUCCCAGUAAUAUUCAUGCUAAUAACCAACUAGUUAUUUUAAGAAUUGGACGCUAAAGUGUUUCCAAUAUUCUUAUUAACUCACCAAAGUAUUUAAAGUGAGAAGAGUAUAUAAAAAGCAUGUAUUUUAAGGUUAGACUUUUUUUUUAUGUUAAAUCCAGUAUUGUAUUGUAUGUUCUACAGUUUAUACACAGUAUUAAGUCCAAUUACAUAAGAAAUAACUGUAAUUAAGUUACAGAAAAAAAUAAGAGUAAUCCCUUACUUUACCUUUUCAAGGGAAAUGUAAUUAAAUUGCAGUAACUAAUUACUUAGUAACUAAUUACACCCAAAACUGUUGUUCAAAUUAAUCUCAGAACUCAAUGUCCCGGGGCUGUGUGUAAAAUCACAGAAGGAAACUCACAAUUGAGGAAUACUAUAAAUUGAAUUUAUAUUUCUAAAGAAUUUAAUGAGGUGUGCUUAAUUUGCAUAUAACAAUGAUCUCAAUGUUUGUUUGUUUGUUUUUUUGUUUGUUUGUUUUUUAAAGUGUUAAAAAUCUUUCCGUAUCCUCGGAAAAAUUUCCUCCUCUCAUAUUCCUGGUUACACAGUAGCGCAGGGAUCUCCAGCCCUGCUCCUGGAUAGCUACCAUCCUGUAGACUUCAGUUGCAACCCUGCUCCAACACACCUAUCUGUUAUUAUAGUAGCCCUGAACACCUUGAUUACCUUGAUUAGCUGGUUCAGGUGUGUUUGACUGGGGUUGGAGCUGAAAUCUGCAGGACAGUAGCUCUCCAGGAGCAGGGUUGGAGACCCCUGCAGAAACGCGUGUCUGUAGUGCCACCUGCUGGCUGAACCUACACUCUGCGUCUGUUUACCUGACAAAUUUGGCCUAAACUUGCUUCCUUUCGUUCUUCUCAUCUUCUGUUCGAGCCAUCAUAAUCACAGUUCACGAUCACAGAUAAGACCUUAUGAACUCAAAAUGUUUAUCUUUGCUAAACUGUAGAACUGACAACCUGAAUUCAAAAUGAUCACACAAAUGGUUGAUCCUAGCAUGACAUUUAUUCUAGAUGUGCAAGAUUAUAGAUACUGUCCUAUCUUAGCUUUAAUUUACUGUAACAUAUGACCAUAUAAAAAUCUGAUUGAUCUGGACAUUUCAGCCUGUGUGUACAAAACACUAAGAGGAUAAAAUGCCUUUUGAAAUCCUUAUGUCAGUAUCGAUUGCUUUUAGGAACUGCAGUUCCGUCCUGAUGAUCAAAAAUUCUCUCAUAUACCAUCUCUCACCUAUCAGUCUCUACUCCCCCCCCCGGUCUUCUCUUCCUCUGAACCAUCUGGCACCUCUCAUUUCUUCAUGCCUGACCAGUCUGUCACCUUCUCAUAUGAAAAGAAGGUUUCCUAAUGCAUCUGAAUAAUGGGAUGUAUAUAUGAGGAAUUUUAACUUAUGGAUGAAACGUUAAAGCUUAUGAAUCAAGAGCAAUGUUUAAAGCAAGACCAGGGGUAGGCUGAGAGGCAGAACACCAACACUGAGGCAUACCUUGAGUUUGUUUUCACAGUCCAGUGCCACUGUGAUGAACAGAACUUAAUUAAAGUACACAUCAGCUUUGGAAUUGUGUCAAAGCUCUUGGGGUCCUCUCAUCUACUUUUUUUUUCCUGAAGUGGACCAGGGCUUGAAAAAAUGUGCAUGUAAAAUAAUGUAUUUAUUAUUUACUAAAAUGUAUUUAUUAUUUUAAAUACUUUAUUUAUAAUUUAUGUAAUUAUUAUUAAAUAUUAAUUUAUUUUAAUUAUAGUAAUUCAGUUUUAAUUAAUAAAUAAAGACUUUUAUUCAGCCACGAUGCAUGAAAUUAAUCAAAAGUGACAGAAAAGACGUUUAUAAUUGUACAAAAUACUUAUAUUUUUAAAAAGCUUUCUUUUCAUCAAAGAAUUAAAGGAGUAAUGACUGUUGAAAAUUCAGCUUUGCAAUUACAGGAAUAAAUUACAUUUUUAAAUAUAAUAAAAUAGAGCAGUUAUUUUUACAUUAAAUAUUUUUAAUGCCUUUACUAUAUUUUUGCUUAAAAAAUAGCCUUGACAAGCUAAGUGAUUUCUUAAAAAAUACAUAAAAACAUUUUUAAAAAAAAUGUACUAACGCCAAACUUUUGAACAGUAGUGUAUGGUUUAAUCUACUUCCCCACAAACUUGCUUAACUAAUAUUAAAUGUUAUAAAUUUCAUAAACUCAUGUUUACUUAAUAGUUGGCAUUUUCUUGUACACUUGAAUCAGACAUUGUGUAGUUGGGCCUGAGGGGGUAAUAAGACUCUUUAUGCAGAAGAGCUCAGUGCACUUGCUGGAAUAAAUGAAUUUAUCAUUUUUAAAUAAAUCAAGUAAAAUUGCAACUCUGUGAAUGUAUUAACAGGAAUGAGGUCUCAUCUGACUCUUUUUUUUUUUUUUUCAUUACGAUUUCACUGACUGGUUAAGUGAUGAAUUAUGGAUCAAUGGUGUCAGUCCCAUUCUGUAAAUGCUUCACAAGGCAAAUGUGUUUAAAAUUUCAGAUGGAAAAUCACUAAUGGAAAAGAUGUAUAAAGGAGAGAAAACUGUGUAAUAUUUUGACUUUGUAGUUCACAUUUAUUUAUUUAUUUUAUUUUACUUCAUAUGAACCAGUUAAUUGUGUAUUAUUUUUUGUCCUUUACAAGCGGAGAGAAUCUUUAGGAGGUGGAGUAGCUGUUGUUUGCACCCAUAUUUUGUGUUAAUUGCAUUUCCAUUUUGAUUUAAUUUGUUAAAAUAAUAUAUAGUAUAGAAAUGCGUGAUUUGUAAUGUAACACCUCUCAGAUCGCAAUACAAAAAGCUCACCAUCUGACCUGUCCAUCUCCUUAUCCAGCAAUUCAGAGCAAAUUGAUAUGUUUUGUUACAUUAUUGACCUUGAAUUUGGUUUGUAAGAUAAAUGACUUUAUCAUUAGAGAAUAUUAUGUUAAAAUUACAAUGAUAUCUGUUUAUCUGGUCAGAUAACCUUGAAGUCAUUGACCCAUCUUGCUGCUUUUAAUAUUUAAAAAAAAAAAAAAACAGAGAGCUAAAUGACAGACUUUCAUAAGCCCCCGGGCAGAGGUCAGCAGAGGUCAGGUGGUCAUGAAAUGUCUUGUUUCAACACCAUCGUGCGAUGCACGUCCUGAAUAAAAAUGGUUCAGUGUUCAGGUUUUUUUGAGAGCAGCUCUGGCUGAUCUCAGUGGAAGCACGGUCAUGCUGACUCACAGAGACACUGAGCAGUCUGCCAAAACAAGUACGACAAAGGCCAGAGAAAACAUAACAUUAAAGAGCUAUAGUUCUAAUGCAGAGGGAGGCUGGACCGGUUAUUUGCUCAGUGAUAUCUUCAAAGAUGUGACUUUAACAAAAAAAAAAAAAAAAAAGUUUCAUCUAAAAAAUGUAAACAUAUGAAUUAAUUAUUUUGGUUUACUGAUGUUUUAAACUUAAAAGUUGCAUGAAGUCUUUUUGUGUAUGUUAUGACUAGUUUUUGAUUAAUUCAAUAAAAUUCAAUCAAUAAUUAAAGGAAAAGUGUCUAAUAAUUGAGGGUUGCAGAGAUAUG
ensembl:lncRNA